GACGAACGCUGGCGGCGUGCUUAACACAUGCAAGUCGAACGGUGAAGCGCCUUCCUUUUUGGUGGGUGUGGAUGAGUGGCGAACGGGUGAGUAACACGUGAGUAACCUGCCCCAUUCUUCUGGAUAACCGCAUGAAAGUGUGGCUAAUACGGGAUAUUCUGGGUCUGUCGCAUGAUGGGUCUGGGAAAGAUAUUGUUUCGGUGGGGGAUGGGCUCGCGGCCUAUCAGCUUGUUGGUGGGGUGAUGGCCUACCAAGGCGGUGACGGGUAGCCGGCCUGGGAGGGUGGACGGGCCCACUGGGACUGAGACACGGCCCAGACUCCUACGGGAGGCAGCAGGGGGGAAUAUGGCACAAUGGGCGCAAGCCUGAUGCAGCGACGCCGCGUGAGGGAUGGAGGCCUGCGGGUUGUGAACCUCUUUCGCCAGUGAAGCAGGCCUGCCUCGUUUGUGGGUGGGUUGACGGUAGCUGGAGAAGAAGCGCCGGCUAACUACGUG
rnacentral:rRNA from 1 species